AGGAAUGUCACUAUGCAGCAGGCAGCCA
rnacentral:sRNA from 1 species